rnacentral:rRNA from 1 species
UUAGGCCUACGGGACGCAGCAGUGGGGAAUAUUGGGCAAUGGGGGAAACCCUGACCCAGCGACGCCGCGUGAGGGAAGAAGGUUUUCGGAUUGUAAACCUCUGUCCUUGGGGACGAUAAUGACGGUAGCCAAGGAGGAAGCCACGGCUAACUACGUGCCAGCAGCCGCGGUAAUACGUAGGUGGCGAGCGUUGUCCGGAAUUACUGGGUGUAAAGGGAGCGGAGGCGGGAGA